AAUAACCCAAACGACAAGGCUAACUAUUUUGCGGAGAUAAAGGGAGAAAAGAAGAGUCUCUCGUUCCUAGCAAAACCCCAACCCUAACGAAACCCCUAACCCCAAUCCAUUCCAAAUGAUUCGUUCCUCUCUGGUUCUUUAAUCCAUUCGAUGAUGAUGCGCGUUCCUUUAUUGAGCUUCGAUCUCAAUCUCUGCUCAGGAAUGAGCUUCGAUCGUUGAGCUUCGAUCUUCUCUGCUCGCGAAUGAGCUUCGAUCCUCUGCUCCUCUUCUUAUUGAGCUUCGAUUCUCUGCUCGUUGAGCUUCUAUCUCUGCUAAUUGAGCUUCGAUCCUCUACUCCUCUUCUCAUUGAGCUUCGAUCCUCUCUGCUUGUGUUCAUCACCGCCGGUUACUGUUCGAUUAUCACUGCUCGCGUUUUUUGUGAGAUUCUCGUUUUUGGCAUUCUUAUGCAGCCGGUCAAAUCACAAACCUAACAGAAACUCUGCAAUAGCCGGCAGCAGAAGCGAUUGCUUCCGUCACCGUCGUCGUUGUAUAGAUCGAAGACAGAACUAGCUUCACAAUCGGCAUCAUUGCUAAGACCACGGAAUUGCAGAAACCUUGGCAACUGGAAUGGGAAACGUCGAAUAAGGGGCUGAAAAAGUGGUCCGGAGACGGCAAAAAUCGUGUUCCUCUCUUUUUGCAUUCAUCUAUACCGCCAUCACAGUCGGUACUGAUGAUUAUGAUUAUAUGAUGGAGUAAAAGAUUUUGAUGACUUGUUAUAAAGAACAAAAAUGGUAGCAAAAGAGAUGUGUUUCUUCAACAAGGUGUGUGCUUUUAUACGGUCCUUACUACUAAUGAAAUCUGUUUUACUUUGUUUUGUCACUAACAAUGUGCUUCUUGUUUUAGUAAUUACUAUUAUUUAUUAGUUAUCAUAAUUAAUGUUAUUUAUUUAUUUGUUGUUAUUUAUUUAUUUUCAAAUGUUUCAACUUUCAAGCAUAGUGGUAGCAACUAAAUCCGGGCAAAGGAAAAAAAUAGAAGAUGAAAUAUCUUACAAGGAGUAGGCCUCUUCAUAAUUUUUUAAAUUUAUUAGGAAUAUGCCCCAUUACUUAAUUGCUGCUAGUGGCUUUACUAAAUUAUAUUAUUUAAGUAAAAUCACCAAAAUUAAUUAAUUCAUUCAUUAAUUAUAAGAUAAUUUUGAUGAUAAUUGUGAUUGGUGCUAUUAGAUUGAUUCUUUGGACACUUUGGCUCUACUCGGUGAUCGUGACCGCUUUGCCACUUCCAUUGAAUGGAUUGGUAAAAUAUUCGCUUUGAUAUUGUGAGUGAAUGGCUAAGCAGCUAAAUUUCAAGUUUCUGUACUCAAUUUGGAGCUAAGGAUGAAUUUAAUUACUUUUUGGUCGAUUAUAGAACAAAACUGUUUCUUUGUUUGAGACGACAAUCAGAGUUCUUGGAGGAUUGCUUUCGGCUCAUCUUAUAGUCAAUGAUUACGCUACGGGAUGCGAUGAUUGGUGCCGUUCCAAGCUAUGAGGAGCCGUAUAUUAAAGUUCCAAGGGUCUUAAGUAUGGACUAAAAACUUUGUAAAGUUCAUUGAAGGUGGAGCAGAGGCUGAAAUAAACUCAUAGUGAAGUUGACUCGGUGAAAGACCUGAAUGAAUCAAUCCUUCUUCAGGAUGAAGAACAUGAAAACAAAGGAAAAGAUGAGAGCUGUGAAGCUGCUGAAAGCAGUGCAUCUGAAAGGGAAGAUGCAACUGACGAGAUUUAGCAUAUGGGACAAGUCAAGCAUGGAUAUAAAAUAUGCAAGUAGAUUGACAUCUUUUUUACAAAUAUUAAUUACUAUUUUGUUAUGACAAUUAUUGUUAGAUAAGAAUUUUAUUAUUUUGUCAGAGAAUUAUUGAUGAACAUGUAUUUAAAAUACUAAUUGAACAUUUUAAUAUC